rnacentral:rRNA from 1 species
ACGGCGAGUGAAGCGGCAACAGCUCAAAUUUGAAAUCUGGCUCUUUCAGAGUCCGAGUUGUAAUUUGCAGAGGGCGCUUUGGCGUUGGCAGCGGUCUAAGUUCUUUGGAACAGGACGUCACAGAGGGUGAGAAUCCCGUACGUGGUCGCUAGCCUUCGCCGUGUAAAGCCCCUUCGACGAGUCGAGUUGUUUGGGAAUGCAGCUCUAAAUGGGAGGUAAAUUUCUUCUAAAGCUAAAUACUGGCCAGAGACCGAUAGCGCACAAGUAGAGUGAUCGAAAGAUGAAAAGCACUUUGGAAAGAGAGUCAAAUAGCACGUGAAAUUGUUGAAAGGGAAGCGCUUGCAGCCAGACUUGCCUGUAGUUGCUUAUCCGGACUUUUGUCCGGUGCACUCUUCUGCGGGCAGGCCAGCAUCAGUUUGGGCGGUUGGAUAAAGGUCUCUGUCAUGUACCUCCUUUCGGGGAGGCCUUAUAGGGGAGACGACAUGCAACCAGCCUGGACUGAGGUCCGCGCAUCUGCUAGGAUGCUGGCGUAAUGGCUGUAAGCGGCCCGUCUUGAAACACGGACCAAGGAGUCUAACAUCUAUGCGAGUGUUUGGGUGUCAAGCCCAGACGCGUAAUGAAAGUGAACGGAGGUGGGAACCUUUUAGGUGCACCAUCGACCGAUCCUGAUGUCUUCGGAAGGAUUUGAGUAAGAGCAUAGCUGUUGGGACCCGAAAGAUGGUGAACUAUGCUUGAAUAGGGUGAAGCCAGAGGAAACUCUGGUGGAGGCUCGCAGCGGUUCUGACGUGCAAAUCGAUCGUCAAAUUUGGGCAUAGGGGCGAAAGACUAAUCGAA